GGGUCAGUAGGUUGGUCGUGCCACCGGUACGUACUGGUCUCAUUGAUUCCUCCUUCCUGAAGAACCGUAAUGCCAUUAAUUUGGUGUUGCGGGGAAACAGGACUGUUACUUUGAAAAAAUUAGAGUGUUUAAAGCAGGCUAACGCUUGAAUACAUUAGCAUGGAAUAAUGAAAUAGGACGAUCGAUCCUAUUUUGUUGGUUUCUAGGAUUGACGUA
rnacentral:rRNA from 1 species